UAUGAAGGUAAAACACCAGCCCUGCUCACCUGUAGUCUCUAUGAUGAUAUGAAGGUAAAACACCAGCCCUGCUCACCUGUAGUCUCUAUGAUGAUAUGAAGGUAAAACACCAGCCCUGCUCACCUGUAGUCUCUAUGAUGAUAUGAAGGCAAAACACCAGCCCUGCUCACCUGUAGUCUCUAUGAUGAUAUGAAGGUAAAACACCAGCCCUGCUCACCUGUAGUCUCUAUGAUGAUAUGAAGGUAAAACACCAGCCCUGCUCACCUGUAGUCUCUAUGAUGAUAUGAAGGUAAAACACCAGCCCUGCUCACCUGUAGUCUCUAUGAUGAUAUGAAGGUAAAACACCAGCCCUGCUCACCUGUAGUCUCUAUGAUGAUAUGAAGGCAAAACACCAGCCCUGCUCACCUGUAGUCUCUAUGAUGAUAUGAAGGUAAAACACCAGCCCUGCUCACCUGUAGUCUCUAUGAUGAUAUGAAGGCAAAACACCAGCCCUGCUCACCUGUAGUCUCUAUGAUGAUAUGAAGGCAAAACACCAGCCCUGCUCACCUGUAGUCUCUAUGAUGAUAUGAAGGCAAAACACCAGCCCUGCUCACCUGUAGUCUCUAUGAUGAUAUGAAGGCAAAACACCAGCCCUGCUCACCUGUAGUCUCUAUGAUGAUAUGAAGGCAAAACACCAGCCCUGCUCACCUGUAGUCUCUAUGAUGAUAUGAAGGUAAAACACCAGCCCUGCUCACCU